rnacentral:rRNA from 1 species
GACGGGCCCGCACAAGCAGCGGAGUCGUGUGGUUUAAUUCGAUGUUACACGAAGAACCUUACCAGGGUUUGACAUGCAAGUGGUAGGAAGCCGAAAGGUGACCGACCCUUCGGGGAGCUUGCACAGGUGCUGCAUGGCUGUCGUCAGCUCGUGUCGUGAGAUGUUCGGUUAAGUCCGCUAACGAGCGCAACCCUCGCUGUGUGUUAUAUGUGUCACACGGGACUGCCGGUCUUAAGCCGGAGGAAGGUGGGGAUGAUGUCAAGUCAGCAUGGCCUUUAUAUCUUGGGCUACACACACGCUACAAUGGUCUGUACAACAGGUUGCCAAGCCGCGAGGCGGAGCCAAUCCUAAAAGCAGGCCUCAGUUCAGAUUGUAGGCUGCAACCCGCCUGCAUGAAGAUGGAGUUGCUAGUAACCGCAGGUCAGCUAUACUGCGGUGAAUACGUUCCCGGGUCUU